rnacentral:rRNA from 1 species
UACGUAGGGGGCAAGCGUUGUCCGGAUUUAUUGGGCGUAAAGAGCGUGUAGGCGGUCAGGUAGGUCCGUUGUGAAAACUCGAGGCUCAACCUCGAGACGCCGAUGGAAACCAUCUGACUAGAGUCCGGAAGAGGAGAGUGGAAUUCCUGGUGUAGCGGUGAAAUGCGCAGAUAUCAGGAAGAACACCAAUGGCGAAGGCAGCUCGCUGGGACGUGACUGACGCUGAGACGCGAAAGCGUGGGGAGCAAACAGG